UAUAUAUAUAUAUAUAUAUAUAUAUAUAUAUAUAGGCUCAUGAUCAAAUAGAAACCAAUCUUAAAAUUCAUUAUAGAUGGACCUACCUUGAGAAGUACAGUUCAUAAUUAAUUCAUAUAUUAAAUUAUUGUUCGCUAUGGGCCUGAGAGAGGAUGAUCAUAGUUAUAAGUGGAGUGUGUUGUUACUCCUUAUUUUGAUUGGUUGAGUUGUUAACCAAGUUAAAGCAGCAGAAGAUUAUGGAAAUGGAGGGCAAGUUAAUAAACCCAAUCCAAAAUUUACAGAUUGCGUACAUGCAUGUAAGAAGAAGUAUAGUGCCUGUGUGAAGGGGAAUUGCCCACAAACAGAAAUGAACAAUUUAAUAGUUUGUCCGCGUGUCUGUUUUCAAGAUUCCAAGAGAUGAUUUAAUCCAUCUUCUUUCUACCAGCAAGCGAAUGAGGAAUAAAAUUGAGAUAUCGGUAUUGUAUAUCAAAUAUUUAUGUGUAGUAAUUAUAUAAUAUAUUAUAUUAUACUAUUAUUCUUUUAAA
rnacentral:lncRNA from 1 species